AUCUAUCUGGCAGUGUAAACAUUACUUCACUCCGGUGGCAGGGACUCAGCCCUGAAAUCUAUAUAGAAAAAGUACCCGGGUCGUCUUUCAAUGGCUUCGAGACCAUCAGAAAUGCCUGCUCUUGAGCCUAGUGGGCCUCUAGGCAAGAUGUCCCUGCCCAUCGGGAUGAGCCGCCGGGCAUUCAGCUAUGAUGAUGCCCUGGAGGACCCUACGCCCAUGACUCCUCCUCCAUCGGACAUGGGCAGCAUCCCCUGGAAGCCAGUGAUUCCAGAGCGCAAGUAUCAGCACGUCGCCAAGAAACUAAAACGACAGAGUGGAGAGAGAACGAGGGAAGAGAAGCAGCUGGCCUCCGCCCAGGCCACCCCCAGCAACAUCCCCCUCUCUUCCCCUAAGCAGAAGCUGAGAGGCCGGUUCUCUUCUGGCUCUUUCACAGCCUCACCUGGCCCACGUUUUAGCACCAUGGAUUCUGGAAGCGGGGAUAAAGACAGAAACUCGGCAGACAAAUGGAGCCUCUUCGGACCAAGAUCCCUCCAGAAGUCUGAUUCGGGAGGCUUUGCCACCCAGCCCUACAGAGGAGCCCAGAAGCCUUCUCCAAUGGAACUGAUGCGCAUGCGGGCCACCCGAAAGGCCGAAGACCCAGCCACCUUCAAGCAGCCCAAGAUGGACCUGCCAGUGAUGAGAGGGAAGAAACAACCGCCUCGGACCCCUAAUCACAAACCCCGUGACUUGAAUGUGCUCACACCCACCGGCUUGUAG